rnacentral:tRNA from 1 species
GCGGACGUGGCGGAAUUGGCAGACGCGCCAGACUAAGGAUCUGGUCCUCAAUUGCGAGGGUGGAGGUUCAAAUCCUCUCGUCCGCA